ACCUGGGUGGCUCAGAGGUUGAGCAUCUGCCUUCGACUCAGGUGGUGAUGCCAGGGUCCUGGGAUCAAGUCCCACAUCAGGUU
rnacentral:tRNA from 1 species